AGAACAAAAUAAAAGAGAGGUAAUGGGCAGUAGGGAGAGAGAUCUUUCUCAAAGGCAAAGGGGAGGGAGAGAUAGAGGAGGGAGGGAAGGAGCCAGGGGAGGGAGAGGGAUGACAACGGCAGGUUUGUUACGUACAGUCCCUUCGCCACGGGAGGAGCGCAGUCACGAUGCACUGCAGACGUGGACGAAACGUGCAAACAGAGCGUCGCCCGGCAGGACUUUCAGACUUUCAGUUCCGUCCAGGAGGCCCUGUGCCGCUGGGGGGCGCUGUGGGAGUGAGGGCCCUAGAGGCCGGGUGCAGACGGGAGUCCCUGGCCCUGGCCUGAUGGCCACAGUCCCGGUGUCUGUGGGGCCCAGCCGGGCGCCUCCCGCUCUCGGCCAGGCCUGCGGGGCAGAGGCCAGCGGCGUGCAGCGCUCCGGCCGCGCCCCGCCUCCCACCGCCUCUCCUCCGCGUGCCAGGGACCCGGCAUUCAACCCCCGCAGGAGGGCCCGGCUCCUCAGGCUGCGGUCACGGCUUACACCGGCUCCCGGAUGCUCAGUUUCCCCGAACGCAUGUCAGACGAGCACGCAAAACCCGGUGCAAAGAGCUAGAACUGCGUCACAGAAGUGGCUGCCUGCAGUGUGACGCGGGUUCGGGUUCGGGCUGAAGUUCGGGUUCGAGGUCAUCACAGAGCAGCAGCGGCCUGGCGAGUUUUAGUAAAUAGUCACAGGGCGUAGCUCAGAAACGAGGAGUGGCCCGAGCCCCCGUGGCCGCAGGACUGUUUGCGAGACUCGGCCUGUGUUCAGCUGAAUGAUUCUUGCGAGAACUUCUGCCCCCAGUCCACUGAUCGCUUCCUUACAGCGAACACCUACCUAGGACCAACAGUGCCUGUCUGUCGGAAGGUAAAGGUGGUGGCAACAGGAUGCUGCCCGUGCUCCAGCGCUGGGCCUCUCCUCUCCGACUCUGUAAGCAGCCAUCCCGCGGGAGGGUGACACUCACGACAGAACGAAGGCCGAGGGCUGUUCCAUCACCUGCGGUCCUCCCACCGAGCCUACGGAGUCUUUCUGCGGGCGCCUGGAAUUGUGCGCGCACCGUUUCCCGCUUCUCUGCACGGCACAAUCAAGUCCCGGUGGGGUGCAGAGCGCACUGACUUGGACAACGCUUUUAAAGAUGUGACGAGGAUUGUCAAUUUGGCACGAUUCACGUUUUAGGAGCAGGCAAUCCAAAAAUCAAUUCAGCCUUCUCACAUCAUCUGAAAGAGAUUUUAUUUUUAUUGCAAAACGAGUAAUUUUCUUAUGUAUGUUUUGGCAAGGUACUUAUUUGGUG
rnacentral:lncRNA from 1 species